ensembl:lncRNA
GGAUGACGUGGGUUGGUGAUGGCGCGGCCGCUCAGGAACUGUGAGUCAGGAUGAAAACUCGAGACAGUAGCCAAUUGUUGAGGAGUAGCUGCAGCCUUUGGCCAUCGUGCCACGCGAGGUCUGAGCUUCCCCAACACAAUAUGGACGUCACAAGGGGGUGCUUAUGUUGGCAGCCCAGGCAGACCCCACGGCAGCAGAAGCAGCACGAGCUGACGGAAAAGAGCACUGGGCGAAGAGUCAGGAGGCUUGGCUCGAGUUCAGUCUGCUGUGAAUGACAUGACUUUGGGCAAGCUGAGCAUUUUCUCCAUUGACAGAAACAGUGCUGCCCUCUCUUCUCAGAGUUCUUAUUGAGAUAAAAAAUAAUAAGUCUGAGUGGUUUGGGAAAGUAAAAAGCGAUGAUAAACAUUUGUACCGUUUCUUUAUUCGUUCAGCAAGCAUGUACAUGCCAGGCGUGGGUUAUCCCUGUUAGGACACCUGGAUGGCUCCUGAGCUGGACCUUGUGGGUUCUCAGGGCAGUGGAGAUGAAGCAGCAGCACAUCCAUGCAAUGCUGUGUGGGUGGGUCUUAGAACUUCAGCAGCUAUGAACUGCAAUAAAGAAUCAGAGGUGGUCAUGGACACCUCUGCCAGGGAGACUGGUGAAUUUUUCCCAGACCUGGUGGGUUUUGAUAUAGCUCUUGGAAAAUGAGAAAUUUACCCAGCUGAAAGGGAGUGAAAGGGUAUUUUAGGCAGAAGGACCGGCAUUUUCAAGGCACAGCCGUGUGAGUGUACAUAGAGAAUCAUCAAGUUAAAAUUAACCCACGGAUAUUCACUGAGUACCUACCUUCCUCUAGGACUGCUAAGAGCUGGG